AAAGACUCUGGAUGAAAUUAGAGCAUCGAAAGUGCCGGACUACAAGUACGCUCCACUAACUUCAGUGGACGUCGAGCGUUCUUUUUCCGCGUACAAACAAAUACUGACUGAAAGAAGGCACAACUUCAAGCCCGAAAACCUUGAGAUGGUGCUGGUUUGCCACUGCUUUCAUAGCCUUUCUCACAGUGUCCAAUUGCCUCAGC
rnacentral:lncRNA from 1 species